UACGGAGGGGGCUAGCGUUGUUCGGAAUUACUGGGCGUAAAGCGCACGUAGGCGGCUUUGUAAGUUAGAGGUGAAAGCCCAGGGCUUAACCCUGGAAUUGCCUUUAAGACUGCAUCGCUAGAAUCGUGGAGAGGUGAGUGGAAUUCCGAGUGUAGAGGUGAAAUUCGUAGAUAUCGGGAGGAACACCGGUGGCGAAAGCGGCUCACUGGAUCUCUUCUGACGCUGAGGCACGAAAGCUAGGGUAGCGAACGGG
rnacentral:rRNA from 1 species